rnacentral:rRNA from 1 species
AUUGAACGCUGGCGGCAUGCCUUACACAUGCAAGUCGAACGGCAGCGGACCUUCGGGUGCCGGCGAGUGGCGAACGGGUGAGUAAUAUAUCGGAACGUACCUUUCAGUGGGGGAUAACGUAGCGAAAGUUACGCUAAUACCGCAUAUUCUGUGAGCAGGAAAGCAGGGGAUCGCAAGACCUUGCGCUGAUUGAGCGGCUGAUAUCAGAUUAGCUAGUUGGUGAGGUAAAGGCUCACCAAGGCGACGAUCUGUAGCGGGUCUGAGAGGAUGAUCCGCCACACUAGGAACUGAGUACACGGUCCAGACUCCUACGGGAGGCAGCAGUGGGGAAUUUUGGACAAUGGGCGCAAGCCUGAUCCAGCCAUGCCGCGUGAGUG